rnacentral:lncRNA from 1 species
AACCUUAAAAAUAAGCUUUAGCAAGCUUAAAUUAAAGCUUUCUAAGCUCUAACUUUGCCUUUACUCCAUGGUAGAGGUUUCCCCAACCUUUGGCUUAAGUAGAGAAUCUCCAAAUUUCUUGAAACUAAUCACCACAAAUCACUUCUCAAGCUUAAUUCUCUAAGAUUAAUUACUUAAAUCAAGUUGGGUGGGUUUAAUUUGGUGGAUUUAACAAGUAAGAAGUGAAGAAAAACAAAGAAGAGAAGAAGAAGAGGAAGUGGCGUUGAAGAGAAGAAGAAGAAGAGAAAAAG